GGGAACCCGUUCCGAAACGAGGGAUUGUUGCUGAAGAACAACCUCGAAUUGACCGAAAGGGAAUCGGGUUAAUAUUCCCGAACCCGGAUGCGGAGAUCGACCCCUCGUGGGUCCAAUGCGGCAACGCAAACGAACUCGGAGACGUCGGCGGGAGUCCCGGAAAGAGUUGUCUUUUCUUUGUAAGGAACGGACUCCCUGGAAUCGGCUCGCCCGGAGAGAGGGACGUUGUUUCCGUAAAGCACCGCGGCUCUUGCGGUGUCCGGAGCACUCCCGCCGGCCCUUGAAAAUCCGAGGGAGAGACAAAUCUUGAUUUUCGCACCGGACCGUACCCAUAUCCGCAGCAGGUCUCCAAGGUGAACAGCCUCUAGUCGAUAGAACA
rnacentral:rRNA from 1 species